rnacentral:rRNA from 1 species
ACGAAGGUGGCAAGCGUUGUUCGGAUUCACUGGGCGUACAGGGUGUGUAGGCGGUUUGGUAAGCCUUCUGUUAAAGCUUCGGGCCCAACCCGGAAAGCGCAGAGGGUACUGCCAGGCUAGAGGGUGGGAGAGGAGCGCGGAAUUCCCGGUGUAGCGGUGAAAUGCGUAGAGAUCGGGAGGAAGGCCGGUGGCGAAGGCGGCGCUCUGGAACAUACCUGACGCUGAGACACGAAAGCGUGGGGAGCAAACAGGAUUAGAUACCCUGGUAGUCCACGCCCUAAACUAUGGAUACUAAGUGUCGGCGGGUUACCGCCGGUGCCGCAGCUAACGCAUUAAGUAUCCCGCCUGGGAAGUACGGCCGCAAGGUUG